AACGCGAAGAACCUUACCUACUCUUGACAUCCAGAGAACUUAGCAGAGAUGCUUUGGUGCCUUCGGGAACUCUGAGACAGGUGCUGCAUGGCUGUCGUCAGCUCGUGUUGUGAAAUGUUGGGUUAAGUCCCGCAACGAGCGCAACCCUUAUCCUUUGUUGCCAGCGGUCCGGCCGGGAACUCAAAGGAGACUGCCAGUGAUAAACUGGAGGAAGGUGGGGAUGACGUCAAGUCAUCAUGGCCUCUUACGAGUAGGGCUACACACGUGCUACAAUGGCGCAUACAAAGAGAAGCGACCUCGCGAGAGCAAGCGGACCUCAUAAAGUGCGUCGUAGUCCGGAUUGGAGUCUGCAACUCGACUCCAUGAAGUCGGAAUCGCUAGUAAUCGUGGAUCAGAAUGCCCACGGCGAAUACGUUCCC
rnacentral:rRNA from 1 species